UAAGGAAACAUGACAUAAACAUAGGCUAGAAAAAUGCUGGUACAUUGGGGCUUGCUCCCUCCUGCUACUCUUUGGAACUUGGAGUCUACCAUGGGAAGAAGUCUGGGCUAGCCUGCUGGAGUGGUAGAGACCACAUCUGAGAAGAAAGGAGCCAUCCCAGUUAUAUCCUCUACUCCUUGACCAGCUAGGUAACAACAAAAUCUAAAUAUUUAAUGAAAGAAAUAGGAUGCAGUGAAGAAUAAUUUAUGCAGAAGGCCAUUUCAUUCACUCAGUUAAACUGGAGAACCCAUGAUAUGCUGGGCAAUAAGC